UACGGAGGGUGCAAGCGUUGUUCGGAAUCACUGGGCGUAAAGGGCGCGCAGGCGGUUUGAAUAGUCAGAUGUGAAAGCCCACGGCUUAACCGUGGAAGUGCAUUUGAAACUGUCAGACUUGAGUACCAGAGGGGAAAGUGGAAUUCCCGGUGUAGAGGUGAAAUUCGUAGAUAUCGGGAGGAAUACCGGUGGCGAAGGCGACUUUCUGGCUAGAUACUGACGCUGAGGCGCGAAAGCGUGGGGAGCAAACAGGAUUAGAUACCCUGGUAGUCCCU
rnacentral:rRNA from 1 species